AAACUCAAAUGAAUUGACGGGGCCCGCACAAGCGGUGGAGCAUGUGGUUUAAUUCGACGCAACGCGAAGAACCUUACCUGGAUUUGACAUCCCGGGGAUCUUUCUGAAAGGAUUGAGUGCCCUUCGGGGAGCCCGGUGACAGGUGCUGCAUGGCUGUCGUCAGCUCGUGUCGUGAGAUGUUGGGUUAAGUCCCGCAACGAGCGCAACCCUUAUCCCCAGUUGCCAUCAGGUAAAGCUGGGAACUCUGGGGAGACUGCCGGUGAUAAACCGGAGGAAGGCGGGGAUGACGUCAAGUCCUCAUGGCCCUUACAUCCCGGGCUACACACGUGCUACAAUGGCAGGUACAGAGGGCUGCGAAGCCGCGAGGUGGAGCGAAUCCCAGAAAACCUGUCUCAGUCCGGAUUGAAGUCUGCAACUCGACUUCAUGAAGGCGGAAUCGCUAGUAACCGCGAAUCAGCAGGUCGCGGUGAAUACGUUCCCGGGCCUU
rnacentral:rRNA from 1 species